GUGUCAUAUGAAAGGAGAGGUUAUCACUCCCCUUGAUAAGAAUGGAUGAAGCACUUGGGCCUGCCAUCAAGCAUACAGUUAAGGCAUUGCCACCUACUUCAUGGCAUCUAACCAUCUUCUUUU